rnacentral:rRNA from 1 species
GACGAACGCUGGCGGCGUGCUUAACACAUGCAAGUCGAACGGUAAGGCCCUUCGGGGUACACGAGUGGCGAACGGGUGAGUAACACGUGGGUGAUCUGCCCUGCACUUCGGGAUAAGCCUGGGAAACUGGGACUAAUACCGGAUAGGACCACUGCCUGCAUGGGUGGGGGUGGAAAGCUUUUGCGGUGUGGGAUGGGCCCGCGGCCUAUCAGCUUGUUGGUGGGGUGAUGGCCUACCAAGGCGACGACGGGUAGCCGGCCUGAGAGGGUUACCGGCCACACUGGGACUGAGAUACGGCCCAGACUCCUACGGGAGGCAGCAGUGGGAAUAUUGCACAAUGGGCGCAAGCCUGAUGCAGCGACGCCGCGUGAGGGAUGACGGCCUUCGGGUUGUAAACCUCUUUCAGCACCGACGAAGCGCAAGUGACGGUAGGUGCAGAAGAAGGACCGGCCAACUACGUGCCAGCCGCCGCGGUAA